GUGAAUCAUCGAAUUUUUGAACGCACAUUGCACUCUCUGGUAUUCCGGAGAGUAUGCCUGUUUGAGGGUCAGUUUAAAUAAAAAUCGGUGUGGUUGCUGCCUUUCGUGGUGACGGCCCGGGUCUGGGUCGACUUGCCUUCGGUUAGGUGACAUACAAAUUUGCAUGAUUUUUUUCGAACGUAUUGAAAUGAUUUUGCGUACGUUUGGGAUACCGAAUACUAGGUGUGGUGAUCCUC
rnacentral:misc_RNA from 1 species